rnacentral:lncRNA from 1 species
GGGAGAGUGCCUAAAAAGCUGUCAUGCAGUAAGAAGCUGCUCUGUCAAGAGCCUGAGCAAGUGGACAAACAACUGUCCCAGGCUCACAGGGCAUGGAGUUGGCUGCCCCUCUCUGAAUCCUCCAUUACAGUGAACUAACACCACAGAGAGCUUCGGAAAGGUACCAAUUGCCUGUAUCUAGCCAACAGCGACUUGGCCUCUACCUUGGGGGUUGGUUGAUGUCCAUCCCAGCAGCACCUUCCAUGCCACUCCUAGGAGGGAGGUCCCACAGGUGCUUACACACUAGGACCAUGAAGAUCCCUACAUGACCUCCUCCACCCUGGAUGACGACUCAGUGAGUACAGAUGGGAAAAGGAAGGGAAGAUUUUAAACUACAAUUGACCCUUGAACAACACUGGGGUUAGGGGUGCCAACCCCCUGCUCCACACAGUCGAAAAUCUGCAUAACUUUUGACUUCCCAAAAAUUUUUAUUAAUAGCUACUGCUGACUAGAAGCAUUACUGAUAACAUAAACGGUCAGUCCAUAUUAGAUAACACAUAUUUAAUACCGUCAGUCAAAAUAAUACAUAUUUUAUAUGUUAUAUGUAUGAUAUAUGGUAUUCUUACAAAAAUAAGCUGGAGAAAAGAAAAUGUUAUUAAGAAAAUCAUGGUGGGGCAUGGUGGCUCACGCCAGUAAUCCCAGUACUUUGGGAGGCUGAGGUGGGUGGAUCACCUGCGGUCAAGAGUUUGAGACCAGUCUGGCCAAUAAGGCGAAACCCUGUCUCUACUAAAAACACAAAAAUUAGCCAGGCAACCUGGUAUGCGCCUGUAAUCCCAGCUACUCGGGAGGCUGAGGCAGGAGGAUUGCUUGAACCCGGAGGUGGAGGUUGCAGUGAGCUGAGAUCAUGCCACUGCACUCCAGUCUGGGUGACAGAGUGAGACUCCAUCUUAAAAAAAAAGAAAAAAAAAAAAAGAAAGAAAGAAAAUCAUAAGAGAAAAUACAUUUAUCAUUAAGUGGAACUGGAUCACCAUAAAGGCCUUCAUCCUUCUUGUUGUCUUCACAUUGAGUAGGCCGAGAAGGAAGAGAAAGAAAAGGAGUCAGUCUUACUGUCUCAGGGUUAUCACAGGUGGGAGGAAAUCCACAUAUAAGUAUCACAGGUGGGAGGAAAUCCACAUAUAAGUAGACCUUAACAAUUCAUACCCAUGUUGCUCAAGGGUCAACUAUAAUGUCCUUGGCUUGCUACAGAUAAACAUCCUCAGGACAGGAUUCUACACCUGGGCAGUGCUAGGGCAUAAACUGCCCUGGCUUCCAGGAGCUGACUGCCAGUAGUCUGCCGUGUUUGCCCAGAUGCACUUAUUGUUUCUCCAGCACCACAGCCCCAUAGCAGGACCACAUGGAGGAAUAGGCAAAGCCACCCUUUUCCCAAUGCCAGGGAAGCUGGGAUCAGAGAGACUAAGAGAACUCUCACACCAGGAAUAUCAGCAGUAACCAGGGCAGAAGCAGGAAACAGAGAACACAAUUCUAUUGUCAAACUCAUCCCAUAAGCACUAGAGGGCAUAGGUGAUGGUGGUUUUAAAUUGCACAAAGGAACACAUUCCUAUACUUGAUAGAGUUAAAAGCAGAGCUUAUUAACAUAAUUCUCCUACAUUUUAAUUUUGAAAAUCCCAUUUAAAGCUACAUCUGAUUUAUCAGUUAUUUUAAUUAAUUUUGUCUAUAUGCCACAGCAUUCUCAGGUUCCCACUCAAAUAUACAAUAGAUUCUUCCUGGUCUGUUUAAAAAUUUGGGGUAGUCAUGUCUCCCUUAGAGAGACAAAAUGUACUACAAAUUGUCUUUUACAAAGAGGGAAGGGGAAAAAGAGGUGAAAGUCAUAGCUACUGCAAAAACAUUUCUCCUUAGCAUGAAUUUGACCUUUAUCCUCAAUACUUGUUUUGGGAAUACUCUUAAAGGACACAUCUUAAACCUCCCCUUCUACUAUCUGAAGAGGACAGUAAAGAGCAAGAAAUCUCCAAAGUCAAGUACAAUCAAGCAUCCUAUCCUGCGAAGCCUACAAAUGAAAAUACUACCCUCUAUAUAUGGAGGCUGAAGAGCAAAGGCUUGCCCAAUGCCUCCAAGUCAGGAACUCCCAAUAGAAAUCCAGCAUGAAGAAGCAUCUGCUAACAGCAACCCUGAUGGGCAGAGGCCAAUGGUUCAUGCCUCACUUAGGAAACAGAUAUGAAAACUGCAGCCCUAGAGACAAUUGCCAAAGCCUUUUUAUAGCUUUCAUCAAGAUUUUACCAAAAACCACACAGAAGAGGUGUAAAAACAUCAUAAACAUUAAGUUUACUGAAUAUCUAUUGACAAUUGUGUUUAGAGCAUAA